UACAGAGGGUGCGAGCGUUAAUCGGAAUUACUGGGCGUAAAGCGUGCGUAGACGGCUAUCUAAGUCGGGUGUGAAAGCCCCGGGCUCAACCCAGAGCCUGCAUCCAAAACUGGCGGGCUAGAGUUCUGGAGGGGGUAGCGGAAUUCCUGGUGUAGCGGUGAAAUGCGUAGAUAUCAGGAGGAACACCGGUGGCGAAGGCGGCUACCUGGACAGAAACUGACGCUGAGGAGCGAAAGCUAGGGGAGCAAACAGG
rnacentral:rRNA from 1 species